rnacentral:sRNA from 1 species
UUCUUGGGCAAGCAACAUGAUGAGUCAUUUGUUAAAUUCCCAGAGUAACGAAUCAAUU